rnacentral:rRNA from 1 species
UACGUAGGAUGCGAGCGUUUGGUCCGGAAUUAUUGGGCGUAAAGAGAACGUAGGCGGUUUCUUAAGUUUGGGGCUUAAAGACCCGGGGCUCAACCCCGGGAAUGGCUCGAAAACUGGGAGACUGGAGGAUGUCAGAGGAAAGUGGAAUUCCGAGUGUAGCGGUGAAAUGCGUAGAUAUUCGGAGGAACACCAGUGGCGAAAGCGACUUUCUGGGACAUUCCUGACGCUGAGGUUCGAAAGCUCGGGGGAGCAAACAGG